rnacentral:rRNA from 1 species
AGUAGGGCCUGCCCACUGAAAUUUUAAAGGGCCGCAGUAUUUUAACUGUGCAAAGGUAGCAUAAUCAUUAGUUUUUUAAUUGAAAGCUGGAAUGAAUGGUUUGAUGAAAAAAUAUCUGUUUCAAUAUUAAUUUUUUAAAACUUUAUUUUUAAGUUAAAAAGCUUAAAUUUGUUUAAAAGACGAGAAGACCCUAUAGAGUUUUAUUAAUAGUAAAAUUUUUACUUUAAGAAUUUAUUUUUAAAAAUUUUUUUAUUAAUUUAAUUGGGGUGAUUAAAAAAUUAAAAAAACUUUUUUUAAAUAAGUACAUUUAUUUAUGAUUAUUUGAUCCAUAAAAUGUGAUUAUAAGAUU